rnacentral:lncRNA from 1 species
CGUGUGUGAAGGGGGCGUGGCCAUGGUACGGAAAGUGUAAAUAUUUUACCAAUAGCGGAAAGUAAAGGCUUUCCUAGUUGGGACAGCAUAUAGGGAAACGUUAAGGAUUAUAGGCACCGGAGAGGUAACCCGGCUUGAGGGGUUGGUUAAAGGGAAAGGCGAGACUUAGGGCGAGACCGAGCGGGGCUAAUUGAGGCGACCCGGGGAGGGGCGGGACCGCGGACUGGAUUUCGACUUCCAAAUUCCCACGAGGUAUAGGAGUCUGAGGGUUGCACAGGACCUUAUGCAUUGUUUGACUCCUCCAGAGCCUUUAGAGAAACUUCUAUCAGGCCCGCCUGCUAGGCACUAGUCGGGGAGAUAAUGUAGCCAGGGAGAUGUGGCGGACAGAAAGGGCAGAGAGGCUCUCUGAGGAGCGGAUGGAGGAUCGUGGGCCGCUUUACUGAGAAGGAAGAGACCCUGCGAGAAGGAGUAGUGUCGACUUGGUCCCGUCAGCCGGACCCCACCUGGACGGCUGGGGCCACUUGUGGUCGCCGGGAGGAGCAUGGAGGUGAUGUGCUGUGACACGAGUGGUGGAAUGCUUCACUGGAGAAGGGGAUGUGUCCUGUGCUGUCCCUGUGCUCGCCACCCACACUCCCCUCCCAGAGGAGGCACGGUGCCCAGCCUGCAAACUCACCCCAGUCACCCAGCCAGCGGAGAAUGUCAUACAGGUGCUUCUCCUUCAUCAUAGCAUCUUUGGAGAAGGAGGCAAUUUUUUCCAGCAAGAUGAAUCUCUUCUUGCCCUUUGGAUCUCUCUGCUGAGAUUUGGCAUUUUCUUUUAAAUCAUAUCCUAAUUCUUCCUGGAAGCGGUUGAUGACACAAUUGACAUUGUCCAAAAUGUCUGAGAGCUGGGUAGAAAUAUCCUAUAGAGAAGCAGCAG